GCUCGGGCGGCCAUAUACCUAUCCCUAUUUACGGCAAGGGUUGCUAUUUGGGUUACAAUUUGGUGAAUACGUGAAUGGGCAUUUUUUGGCGUUUUGAUAUAACAUUUCACUUCAGUUUCUAAAUGGCGUUCUUAGCAGUUUGUGGGUCUUCAUAUAAGCAGCAGGAUGCAAUGCAGUCAAAUCAGGAGAAAGAACGGAAACAAAAGCAUCAAUCAAGUGACGAAGAAAAGUAGUGACCACCAAAUUUAUACUUUCAAAUUAUCCAUUCCCUUCCUAUUGGAUGGCUUUCUCAUCAUCCACAAGAAACUAACUAGUAAGUCCCAUUGUCCAUUUCCUCCUUGGUAUAAAUCAUAAAAUCCUGAAUUUACUUACUGCAUCCAAGACUCCAAAUGAUACAAUCAAAUUAUUGUUUUGCUUCCAAUAUUACAGCGUACUUAGGCUGCAUUCUCUGUACAUUUUGAAAUUCACCCGCUAACACAUGUUACUUGGUCAAACACGACCUUGCCUAUACUUUACUUGGUCAAACACACCUAGCAACUUAAGACGCAUUUUCUACAAAUUGGCUUUGGUCAUUAUGUAUGUUAUGGUUGCAUUACCUUGCAUAUUUGGUCCUUUUCUGCUGUAUUAAUGACUUAA